CUCAGAUGCGGGGGAAAUGUCUACUAGACCCCAGUCUGCUGAGUUGCCUGGUCGGAUGUCUCUAUUCAGGCUGACUUGUCACCUGCCCCUGGGAGGGCAGUGCAGCAGAUAAGCCUGGGCCAGGCCACUCUACUAGAGCCCUCGGUGUACACAGCCUCGGGGCCGCGACAUGUUCCUGUGGUGCUUGCCCACCACAUCUGCAAACUUCCCCACUGGCACGAAGUCGUUGUCCUGCAGAGGCUGCCACCAACACAAGCAGGCAGCAGUGAUGGGAAACAGAAGCCCCGUCUGAGUAACUCACUUCAGUGUCUCGCUCUCUGCACUCGUAGCAAGGAGAACAUGGAGGAAAGAGUGAGGACACAGCCUAUCAGGUACACGUUUUUAGUGAAAACAUACAAACAGUCAUUACUGAACUCCCACAGUGCUCUACCACACUGAGUAGGAAGCGUUCGCUCCAAUUUGCAGAUCUAGAAAUGGAGACCUAGAAAGAAGACAACAGAAGCCACAACCCUGGGGAUGUGGACCAGCAGUAGAGAGCUUGCCUAACAUGCAGUAGGCCCUGGGUUCCAUCCCCACUGUCUCAAGCAAGCAGAAAGGGAAGGAGAGGGAGGGCAAGAGGGCAGGAGGAAGGGGGAAGAGAGAGAGAGGAAAAAGAAAGAAGGGAGAGAGAGAGAGAGAGAGAGAGAGAGAGAGAGAGAGAGAGAACCAUAGUCCCUGCCCCUGAGUUUUGUCCAGUGAACCACGGUUUCCCCAUAAUUUGGAGUCAGCAAACUUUCUAGCAAGAUCUGGAUAGUAAAAACAGUCACAACUACUCAACCCCACCACUGCGGAAGAGCAGCCCAAGGCCAUGUGCCAACAAAUGGGAGCCCUCGUGCUCCAGUGCAACUUGAUUUAAGAAUCAGACUGCGGACCAAAUCUGGCCCAGGGACCAUGGUUCGCCCGCUCCUCUACAGUUGAUCCCAGUGCAUUAUCGCUAAUCUCUGCUACCCACACACGCAGCCAUCACGGAUUCUUUGAACUUGGCCUUGCGCAUCUUUCAAC
rnacentral:lncRNA from 1 species